UGUUGCAGAAGUAGCGCGAGAAGCUUGGAUAGAAACUCUUGAUCCUAGUGGAGAAAAUCUUCACGUGGGCCUCAUUCAUUUACAUCCCAAAGUGUUUGCUACCUACCCAAGGCUAGAUAUCAUCCAUGAAAAUGUAGUCUGGCAGCAGAAGUAUCGCAUGGUGAAUACUUCACAUACCAAACUGCGUCAGAGGUUCGAGGAGGGGGUAGGAAACCAUGGCCACAAAAGGGAACAGGACGAGCAAGACAUGGUUCCAUUCGUUCGCCAUUGUGGAAAGGUGGGGGUGUGGUACAUGGCCCAAGAGCAUUCACCACGCAGUUCUACAUGUUGUCAUUUGAAAAAGAAUAAUGGGCCUUACCUCCACUUUAUCAGCUAAAUUUGCACAGGUGAUGCUCUGUAUAAGAACUUUGCAUUAGUUUGAGUGCAUGGAUUAGCUGAAUUUUCUUCAUCAUUUGUAUACUGUAAUGCAAAGUUUUUUUUUUAACACAGCCAUCUCCCACCAAGGUAGGGUGGCCCAAAAAAAACGAAAACACUGUCACCAUUAUUCACACAUAAUCACUGUCUUUGCAGAGGCACUCGGAUAUGACAGUUCAGAUGUCACUCCAAACAGCAAAUAUCCCAGAUUUUUUUUUUUUUUUUUUUUCUCCCAACAAGUCUGCCGUUUCCCACCGAGGCAGGGUGACCCAAAAAAGAA